rnacentral:rRNA from 1 species
CAACGCUGGCGGCGUGCCUAACACAUGCAAGUCGAACGCGAAAGGGGCUUCGGCCCUGAGUAGAGUGGCGAACGGGUGAGUAACGCGUGGGUGACCUACCUUCGAGUGGGGGAUAACGUUCCGAAAGGAGCGCUAAUACCGCAUGAAGUUCCGGGUUUGAACAUCUGGAAACCAAAGCCGGGGAUCGCAAGACCUGGCGCUUGGAGAGGGGCCCGCGUCUGAUUAGCUAGUUGGCGGGGUAAUGGCCCACCAAGGCGACGAUCAGUAGCCGGCCUGAGAGGGCGGACGGCCACACUGGGACUGAGACACGGCCCAGACUCCUACGGGAGGCAGCAGUGGGGAAUUGUUCGCAAUGGGUGCAAGCCUGACGACGCAACGCCGCGUGGGGGAUGAAGGUCUUCGGAUUGUAAACCCUUGUCGAGCGGGACGAAUGGCCCGCGACCUAACACGUCGUGGGAGUGACGGUACCGCUAAAGGAAGCCACGGCUAACUCUGUGCCAGCAGCCGCGGUAAUACAGAGGUGGCAAGCGUUGUUCGGAAUACUGGGCGUAAAGGGCGCGUAGGCGGCCUUCUAAGUCAGACGUGAAAUCCCCCGGCUUAACCUGGGAACUGCGUCUGAUACUGGAAGGCUUGAGUGCGGGAGAGGGAUGUGGAAUUCCAGGUGUAGCGGUGAAAUGCGUAGAUAUCUGGAGGAACACCGGUGGCGAAGGCGGCAUCCUGGACCGACACUGACGCUGAGGCGCGAAAGCUAGGGUAGCAAACGGGAUUAGAUACCCCGGUAGUCCUAGCCCUAAACGAUGAGUGCUUGGUGUGGCGGGUAUCGAUCCCUGCCGUGCCGAAGCUAACGCAUUAAGCACUCCGCCUGGGGAGUACGGUCGCAAGGCUGAAACUCAAAGG